UCAGCGUCAGGAGGCAGGAAGCGGGGGUUCCACCAGCGGACCGGUCUAACUCGGUCGCCAACCGAUGCGCUGGGCCAAUGGCGAGACCGACCUGACCGUGC
rnacentral:ncRNA from 1 species